ensembl:miRNA gmo-mir-9-3 gmo-mir-9-3
UCUUUGGUUAUCUAGCUGUAUGAGUGUUAAGCCUCCUUCAUAAAGCUAGCUAACCGAAAGUA